rnacentral:rRNA from 1 species
UUAGUUGCCAUCAUUCAGUUGGGCACUCUAGCGAGACUGCCGGUAAUAAACCGGAGGAAGGUAGGGGAUGACGUCAAAUCAUCAUGCCCCUUAUGACCUGGGCUACACACGUGCUACAAUGGUUCGGUACAACGAGUUGCGAGUCGGUGACGGCGAGCUAAUCUCUUAAGGCCAAUCUCAGUUCGGAUUGUAGGCUGCAACUCGCCUACAUGAAGUCGGAAUCGCUAGUAAUCGCGGAUCAGCACGCCGCGGUGAAUACGUUCCCGGGCCUU